rnacentral:rRNA from 1 species
CGAUAUCGACGUAGUUUGAUCAUGGCUCAGAAUCAACGCUGGCGGCGUGCCUCAGACAUGCAAGUCGAACGAUUAAAGCUCUCUUCGGAGAGUGCAUAGAGUGGCGCACGGGUGAGUAACACGUAAGUAAUCUACCUUCGAGUGGGGAAUAACGUCCGGAAACGGGCGCUAAUACCGCAUAAUGCAGCGGCAUCGCAAGAUGACAGUUGUUAAAGGAGCAAUCCGCUUGAAGAGGAGCUUGCGGCAGAUUAGCUAGUUGGUAGGGUAAUGGCCUACCAAGGCUACGAUCUGUAACCGGUCUUAGAGGACGGUCGGCCACACUGACACUGAAUAACGGGUCAGACUCCUACGGGAGGCAGCAGUCGGGAAUUUUGGGCAGUGGGGGAAACCCUGACCCAGCAACGCCGCGUGAAGGAUGAAGUAUUUCGGUAUGUAAACUUCGAAAGAAUAGGAAGAAUUAAUGACGGUACUAUUUAUAAGGUCCGGCUAACUACGUG